CCAGACUCCUACGGGAGGCAGCAGUGAGGAAUAUUGGUCAAUGGCCGAGAGGCUGAACCAGCCAAGUCGCGUGAGGGAUGACGGCCCUACGGGUUGUAAACCUCUUUUGUCGGGGAGCAAAGAGAGUCACGUGUGGCUCAUUGAGAGUACCCGAAGAAAAAGCAUCGGCUAACUCCGUGCCAGCAGCCGCGGUAAUACGGAGGAUGCGAGCGUUAUCCGGAUUUAUUGGGUUUAAAGGGUGCGCAGGCGGCGUGUGAGGCCGGGGGAAAAGGCCGGGGCCUCACCCCCGGCGAGCCGUUGAAACUGGCGGGCUGGAGUUGGAGAGAAGUACGCGGAAUGCGCGGUGUAGCGGUGAAAUGCUUAGAUAUCGCGCAGAACCCCGAUUGCGAAGGCAGCGUACCGGCUCCACACUGACGCUGAGGCACGAAAGCGUGGGUAUCGAACAGGAUUAGAUACCCCAGUAGA
rnacentral:rRNA from 1 species